AACUUUUAACAAUGGAUCACUUGGUUCUGGCAUCGAUGAAGAACGCAGCGAAAUGCGAUAAGUAAUGUGAAUUGCAGAAUUCAGUGAACCAUCGAAUCUUUGAACGCACAUUGCGCCCGGCAGUAAUCUGCCGGGCAUGCCUGUCCGAGCGUCAUUUCUGCCCUCGAGCCUGUCCAGCAUCUAGGUGCUGUUCGGGUUCGGCGUUGGGGCACUACGGGAAGCCUCGUGCUAUCCCCCGUAGGCCCCGAAAUGAAGUGGCGGUCCUGCCGCGGCUCCCCCUGCGUAGUAUUACAGCUCGCUUCGGGACCCGGUGGAGGCCUGCCGUCAAACCUUACUCUCUAAGUUUGACCUCGGAUCAGGUAGGGUUACCCGCUGAACUUAAGCAUAUCAAUAAGCGGAGGCU
rnacentral:misc_RNA from 1 species